UGAUGCUGCUGGAUAUUAUGCUGUCACACUGUUUCUCUGUGUGUGGCCCGAACCAGUUUUUCGACGUGGACUCUCACAUGUGUGACUUCUGUGAUGUGAUCUGUGACCACCCAGAACUACAAGAUACACUCGUCAAGUGUCAGACAUAUUGUCCAGCUUUCUUACCAACGUCGAAACCUACCACAACAUCGGCUACUGGGACACCGUCCCGCGUCGUCGAUACGUCUACGUCAGCACCUUUGCCAGAAGGACACCUUCCCACCUCACACGUUGUCCUGAUAGCACUAGGCUCCAUGAUAGUGUUGGUCGCUGCUCUAGGGAUACUGGGGAUCUUAUUUGGAGACAGGCUUUACAAGAUGAUGCAAGCAGUACUCCCCGCAAGGACGUCGACGGUGAACCUGUGAAGUAUCCUAUACAGGAAGUUGGCGCUUGGAACCAUAACACCACAAACACAGUUCCAGUUCCCACGGAUCUGCUUAUUCCAACUGUUCUUGUGGCUGACUAAUGAAAUAUACCCUUGUCAGGAAGACAUUGUUUGUGCUUCGACUUUUAAUAAUUUCAUG